rnacentral:rRNA from 1 species
GACGAACCGUGCGAACGUUGUUCGGAUUCACUGGGCUUAAAGGGCGCGUAGGCGGGCGACCAAGUCGGGGGUGAAAUCUUUCGGCCCAACCGGAAAAGUGCCCCCGAUACUGGCCGCCUCGAGGGGGGUAGGGGCAUGCGGAACUUCCGGUGGAGCGGUGAAAUGCGUAGAUAUCGGAAAGAACACCAACGGCGAAAGCACUCUGCUGGGCCGACACUGACACUGAGAGACGAAAGCUAGGGGAGCGAAUGGG